AAAUGUAUAACUUUCUCCGACUUCCUAGGACGUGUUUUAUGCCACUUCUUUUUCUGUCUCAUUCUGUCCACCACACUGUUAGCGUUGUGCGUGAAGGCACAAAGGCGGAGCGGCCUCCGGAAAGCCGAGCAUCCCGCACAGGACUCUGCUGCUGUUGAGAGUCCAGCCCAUGUCGCAGACCUGCCUCCACCUCCCAGCGUGCUUCACUUCCACCACACCUUCUGUGACCAAGGUCUUCUUCUUGGUAGCCAUGAGGAUGGGCCUCAGGCGCACCUCCUCGAUCCGAACCUUACUGUGACCCUGAUCGGGGGAUGGCAACGGCGUGUCUCAACCAGUGUUUCCUCACCUUGUCCUUCUCCAUACUUGGCACUGUGCGUCCACGUGAUGCCCCCCUGGAAGCCCAUCUCUCGACACACCACGUUGGCCAGGUUGAUGUCCACCUCGUCGUCACACACCGUCCCCCAGGUGUUGUUGUGCAGCACCUCCACGCGACCCUCGUGAAGCUCCCGGGCAAAGUUCCCCGCCAGACGCACCUUGGCGACAGGUGCACGUGGAGCCCGGCGACGAUGACCGGAAGUGGGGCGUCUGGGCUCAGCGCUCACAAUGGAGGAAAAGGACAGGAAGAGGAGGAGGAGGAGGAAGCAGCCGGAGCAGAGGGUCAUCGUGAUGGAGAGGAGGGGGUCUGAGGAUGAAGAAGGAAGAGGAAAACAUUUUGUGCCACCCCUACCCACUCUCUGCCAUGCCUAUUAAUAGCUGGAUAACUACAACAGUUGGACAUGAACAUGACCGAGUGGGAGUGCCAGGAACGAUCUGGAUGGGUCAGGCAGAGGGGAAAAAAAUCCAUCCUUUUGGCCGGGUGAGUUGAAGAACAUGUGCAACACCGCCGCCUUGUGGAAGGAAGACAAUUUACAUGCACUAAAACCAAAUAAUUUCCAGUUAAUAAUCAGCAGAGAAAAUGCUGAGAAAAACAUUAAAAAAAGGGGGUUUGAAAACAAACGUGUAUUAAAUACAAAAUACUCUUUAUUGCAGUGCAGUGAUGACAAUACAACAUUUUUGAUACAUUAACAACUAUUUGCAGUGCUCAAGUUACUAACGUGCUGCGUUGCAAAUAAAAAAUGCUUUUCCAGAUAUAACACUU